rnacentral:tRNA from 2 species
GACUUAAAAUCCGUCGAUUUUCAAAAUCG